UACGUAGGGGGCGAGCGUUGUCCGGAUUUAUUGGGCGUAAAGAGCUCGUAGGCGGUCUGUCGCGUCGGCUGUGAAAACUCGGGGCUCAACCCCGAGCCUGCAGUCGAUACGGGCAGACUAGAGUGCGGUAGGGGAGACUGGAAUUCCUGGUGUAGCGGUGAAAUGCGCAGAUAUCAGGAGGAACACCGGUGGCGAAGGCGGUUCUCUGGGCCUUACCUGACGCUGAGGAGCGAAAGCGUGGGGAGCGAACGGG
rnacentral:rRNA from 1 species